rnacentral:lncRNA from 1 species
GAGUAGCUGGGAGUACAGAUGCACACCACCACACCCAGCCUAGAAUGAAGAAACCUGCAGUUGGGAAGCAUGAAUUUACCACCUAUUAAGAAUUGUGGCUUGCAUUGUAAGAGGAGCCUGUGAAUUCAGAGGCAAGUCUGCUGAGGACCGAAUGUUCCUGUCCAUAAAAACAGAAGUCUGGCCUGGGCUCCUCUCUUGGGUGAAUUUGCAAUGCCAGAUCCUCUCUAUCAGUUUGGUUUUGUUUCUUGUAUCUCUGGGAAGGCAGGCAGACAGCACGGUCACCUGUGAAUGCAGCUACAAUUGGCUUAGCUGCCUCACUGAUAAAUGUGCCCCCAGUAAGCUACAAAGGGAUUACCAGCGUUCUCAGCAGCUAAAGAAAAGGUCCAGACGCCUGAGCCUGGAAAGAAGCCUGGCCCACGUUCUAUCCAUUUACCCUGUGGCCUUACAGAGACAGAACCUUUGCAGAGCCUGCACUGUGCUUUUACUGUUCCCUUUCGUGGUUGGCUGAAUAUUGGCCUUCCAAAGAUGUCUACAUCUUAAUCCCCAGAACCUAGGGAACCUGUGAAUACAUCACCUAACAUAGGAAAAGGAACUUUGAGGAUGUGGUUAAGGAUCCUGAGAUGGAACUGGUGAAGAUUUCCCCAGCAAAAAGUAGAAGCUCAGUGUUUCAUAGAUGAAGACUGGGGAGAUUGCAAAAGACCCAUCCAGCAGUGGUUCUCAGACCUCAGUGUGCAUCAGAAUCACCUGGAAGGCUUGUGAAAACACGUAUUGCUGGGCCACACCCCCAGAAUUUCUGGAUCAGUAAAGCUGGGAUUCUUACUUUGAGUAGCCAACUUGCAGAAUACAAUAGAAUUUUGGGAGGAGCCCCUCGAUGCCUGGCUUUACUGUUGGAGAGACAGUACAGUAUACACCAGAUGACUUAUUUGUGAACCAUGGAAACGUUUGGAAAAGCCUACUUCAUGCUUUGAACAGAAGAGUUUUAUCAGUUUUAAAUGUUUCUUCAUUUCUAUACCUUCUUUUAUCUGAGGAGCUUAAGCCAUUUUGUAGAGGCAUUAAGUAUUGCCUCAGUCUUAAUAUGUGAGACAAGGUGUGAGGAAUAUAGAGAUUCAUAAAAUAAUCCCCAUCUUCAAGGAACUCACAGUCAGGAAGAACAGAGCCUGCAACACAAAUAAUUGCAAUAUAGUAGAAGUGCCAAUAGGAGCUCUAUGAAGGGCGUGAAACAGGAAAGGCUACAUAGAGGAGAUGGCAGACACUCUGUGGAUUGUGACCUGUUGGUGGGCCAUGAAAUCAAUUUGGGGGUUUGAGAGCAUCAUUCUUUUAAUAAAACAGAAGAGAAUCAUCUGCAAUAAGGAACCCAUGGAUGAAUACCAUCUGGUCCUGGUGAUUUACUGCACAGAGUCCCUCAAGUUGCUCCAUACCUUUCUCCUGAGAGACUGAAGAAUCUCUGUCAAGGCCGUUCUCUGCUUUGCCAUAAAAUGUGUCCUUGGAACAAGAAUUUCCCCAUUGUCUUCUUCAAUAAAUACUGAUUCAAAGUA